rnacentral:rRNA from 1 species
ACACUCCUGCGGGAGGCAGCAGUGGGGAAUAUUGGACAAUGGGCGCAAGCCUGAUCCAGCCAUGCCGCGUGAGUGAUGAAGGCCCUAGGGUUGUAAAGCUCUUUUGUGCGGGAAGAUAAUGACGGUACCGCAAGAAUAAGCCCCGGCUAACUUCGUGCCAGCAGCCGCGGUAAUACGAAGGGGGCUAGCGUUGCUCGGAAUCACUGGGCGUAAAGGGUGCGUAGGCGGGUCUUUAAGUCAGGGGUGAAAUCCUGGAGCUCAACUCCAGAACUGCCUUUGAUACUGAAGAUCUUGAGUUCGGGAGAGGUGAGUGGAACUGCGAGUGUAGAGGUGAAAUUCGUAGAUAUUCGCAAGAACACCAGUGGCGAAGGCGGCUCACUGGCCCGAUACUGACGCUGAGGCACGAAAGCGUGGGGAGCAAACAGGAUUAGAUACCCUUGUAGUCCC